rnacentral:sRNA from 1 species
AAAUGGGGACUCGGGUUGCCUGGGAAAUAUCGCAGUAACCCGACCUCCGCUCCAAAGCGCCCUUGCGGCGUCCGGUCAGGCGCGGGGCUUUCCUCCAGAGCUCCAGGGCUCCUGGCUCAGCCCGGGGUUGCGCUGGGAGCGCUGGAAACUCGGCAGCCCCGCGCGACCCUAUCCUGGAGCAACCUGCCCCCUCCCCACGCCCGGGGACUGCGCUGUGCCGGGAGGAGCUGAGGUUUAAGCCCGGGUUGUCCCGGGCCAGGCUGUCGCUGAGCCCCGGGUCUCGUUUUUGCAGAGGGUCGCCGCUUCAUCUCCGACCAGAGCCGGAGAAAGGACCUCUCCGACCGGCCACUGCCGGAAAGACGAAGCCCAAAUCCCCGACUACUAACUAUUCCGGAGGCAGCAACCAUCUUACUGGCGUCCCUUCAGAAAUCACCAGAAGAUGAAGAAAAAAACUUUGAUCAAACCAGAUUCCUGGAAGACAGUCUGCUUAACUGGUGAAAAUAUACUGGAUUAUGUUUAAUUAUAGUUCUAUUCUCUUUGAAAACAUGAACCAUGUGAAUAAAACCUUUGGACCCUUUUAUUCCAUUUGUAAUCUUAAGAACACACACAGAUAGUUUUAUUCUUUCAGAAACAAAAUAUAUGUAGGAUGCUUAGCUGAGAACAUCAUCUUCUUUCAUUGCUUCAGGUCCUGUUUAGAUGACCAAAAAUGUUUUCAGAUCACCUUGUGUCUUACUCUUGAGUUUCUUAGAAUAUUUAUAAUUAUAAGGCUGAAGACUAAAGUGUUCUUUCCUUUUAACUAUAGCCAGUACCUGUCUUGAUCUUAGUUGUGUGUGUUUUUUUUUCAUUUUGUUACCCACUUGCAUUUUGUUUUCACUCAGCAGAAAUUCUCCUUCUCUGUUUUCCUUUUAUCCCAUCCCCAAGAAGGUGGGAGGAAGGUGAGAAACAUGGCAGGAUGGGAAAUAGGAGAGUAUGACUCUCUAUAGCUCAUCCAGGAGUAAUCAAUUAAGAAGAUAAAUUGGAUGACUGUGGAGAAGCUCUGUGAUAGGAACGCUUCAGUGUGGUUGCUGAGAGGAGACAGUCAUUGAGGUAGAAGGUUUGCCAAAGAUCCAGAGCUCAGAGCUCCCUUUGUGCUCUUUGGGAAUUACCUUGCAUUCAAUUUAGAAACAUGGAUCUAAAAGUUACUGGGAAAUAAGCAAAUGGAGACACGCUCUGUUGUUUAUGUAUUGAAAGAAGGGAACAAGCCAGUUUUGUUAGAGGUAACUCAUUUUCCAUGACCAAACAGACUCAACAGAUUCAAGUACUCUGCUUACUCUAAUUGACUAGACUCUAGGUUUUAUUUGACAUCAUAGCAUUACAUAAAUCACUCUGAUAAUGUAAGUGCACAAUAAUAUGCCUGAUCUCUUCCUUUUUAAAAGCCAACUUGAGUUCAGUACCAUCUGAAUACACACACAUGCACAUAUACCCACACACGCAUACACACAUACUCCUGUGGCAAACAUAAUAAUGUAUUUAUUUAGAAUUAUAAUAUGACCAUCAUGUUAAUUAUUUUUUACCUAAUCAGAGUUGUUAUUGACAAAUGUCAUAAGUGGAAAGUAUUAAUUCUUAUUGUCAUCAGUAUUUAGCCAUUAUUUAGUAGCUCAAGAAUAUCUUUAUGUGAAUGUCUCAGUAACUUGGAAUUGCAAUUUCACUGUGUUAAGUAAUCAGAACUCUGCUUAUAAGAUUUAUCUGUAUCUUGUUUCAUAAUUUAAUAAUGAAACUAAAUUCAAGUUAAUGUAAUGUUGAUCUCUGUCGAAAAAUAACUUGUGAGCAUUAAAAUAUCUGUAUGGCAUU